GACGAACGCUGGCGGCGUGCUUAACACAUGCAAGUCGAACGGAAAGGCCCUGCUUUUGUGGGGUGCUCGAGUGGCGAACGGGUGAGUAACACGUGAGUAACCUGCCCUUGACUUUGGGAUAACUUCAGGAAACUGGGGCUAAUACCGGAUAGGAGCUCCUGCUGCAUGGUGGGGGUUGGAAAGUUUCGGCGGUUGGGGAUGGACUCGCGGCUUAUCAGCUUGUUGGUGGGGUAGUGGCUUACCAAGGCUUUGACGGGUAGCCGGCCUGAGGGUGACCGGCCACAUUGGGACUGAGAUACGGCCCAGACUCCUACGGGAGGCAGCAGUGGGGAAUAUUGCACAAUGGGCGGAAGCCUGAUGCAGCAACGCCGCGUGCGGGAUGACGGCCUUCGGGUUGUAAACCGCUUUCGCCUGUGACGAAGCGUGGGUGACGGUAAUGGGUAAAGAAGCACCGGCUAACUACGUG
rnacentral:rRNA from 1 species